rnacentral:rRNA from 1 species
GACGAACGCUGGCGGCGUGCUUAACACAUGCAAGUCGAACGGUGAAGGUGGAGCUUGCUCCGCCGGAUCAGUGGCGAACGGGUGAGUAACACGUGGGCAACCUGCCCCUCACUUCGGGAUAACUCCGGGAAACCGGGGCUAAUACCGGAUACGACCUCCUUGGGCAUCCUUGGAGGUGGAAAGUUUUUCGGUGAGGGAUGGGCCCGCGGCCUAUCAGCUUGUUGGUGGGGUAGUGGCUCACCAAGGCGAAGACGGGUAGCCGGCCUGAGAGGGCGACCGGCCACGCUGGGACUGAGACACGGCCCAGACUCCUACGGGAGGCAGCAGUGGGGAAUAUUGCGCAAUGGGCGAAAGCCUGACGCAGCAACGCCGCGUGCGGGAUGAAGGCCUUCGGGUUGUAAACCGCUUUCAGCAGGGAAGAAGCCGCAAGGUGACGGUACCUGCAGAAGAAGCACCGGCUAACUACGUGCCAGCCGCCGCAGUAA